AUUGAACGCUGGCGGCAUGCCUUACACAUGCAAGUCGAACGGUAGAGGGGGCAACCCCUCGGGAGUGGCGAACGGGUGAGUAAAGCAUCGGAACGUGCCCAGUAGUGGGGGAUAGCCCGGCGAAAGCCGGAUUAAUACCGCAUGAGACCUACGGGUGAAAGGGGGGGAUCGUAAGACCUCUCGCUAUAGGAGCGGCCGAUGUCAGAUUAGGUAGUUGGUGGGGUGAUGGCCUACCAAGGCGACGACGGGUAGCCGGCCUGAGAGGGUGACCGGCCACACUGGGACUGAGACACGGCCCAGACUCCUACGGGAGGCAGCAGUGGGGAAUCUUGCGCAAUGGGCGGAAGCCUGACGCAGCAACGCCGCGUGGGGGAUGACGGCCUUCGGGUUGUAAACCUCUUUCGGCAUCGACGAAGGCUCUCGUGUUCGGGGGUUGACAGUAGGUGCAGAAGAAGCACCGGCUAACUACGUGCCAGCAGCCGCAGUAA
rnacentral:rRNA from 1 species